CGACGCUCUCACUGUUGGCUGGGUCCCUUCCCUCAUGUCUGAGCCGCAGCCGGAUUUUCCUCCGGUGAAAUUGGAACCGCAGGAGAAUUUCUCGGUGUUGCAGGAGAGUUUUGCAGCUCCGGAAAAUAUUGUGCAGCCGCCGGAGGGGAUUGCGACGCAAGCUAAAGCUGCUACGCCUGCCAAGGGGAAGCAUUAUAGGGGAGUCAGGCAGCGGCCAUGGGGGAAGUUCGCUGCUGAGAUUCGAGACCCGGCAAAAAACGGGGCUCGGGUUUGGUUAGGGACAUUCGAGACAGCGGAGGAUGCGGCUUUGGCAUAUGAUCGCGCCGCAUAUAGAAUGCGUGGGUCGAAGGCUUUGUUGAAUUUCCCAUUGAGGGUGAAUUCCGGGGAGCCGGACCCUGUGAGAGUGACUUCGAAGAGGUCAUCACCGGAGCCAUCAUCUUCGACAUCAUCAGGGUCGGAGAGUGGGUCGCCGAAGAGGAGAAAGAAGGGUGUGAGCUCCGCUACGACGAAGGCUUCUGCUACUACAGUAGUGUCUGAUCACGAAGGCAGAUUGAAAAUGGAAAAUGCAGCUAGAUAUCAAGUGGCAUCAAGUACACAUGGCGAGCAGCUAUUGGUUAACCAAUAAUACUCAAAGUGAAUGCUCUGCACAUUGAGUUGCACCAAAAUGAAAGAAGGUUGAUACUGUAGAUUGGAGUUUAACAUUGUCCAUGAGCAUUUUCAUAAAUUUUGGAGUUUCUUGAAAAGCAUAAAAAAGGAAGAAAGGAAUCUGUAUUCACAAGCCAAACAACAAAG
rnacentral:misc_RNA from 1 species